GAGGCUAUAGCUCAGAGAUAGAGCAUCUGCUUUGCAUGCAGAAGGUUCAAUCCCCAGCGUCU
rnacentral:tRNA from 1 species